UUUUUCAUAGAUGCAUUUUCUUAAUGCUAGUGAAGUUUACUACAAUGAUACCAUUACCUAUUUAAACGGGGAUUUUUUUUAGAGGCUACAUAUUAUUUGUAAUGUUAGCCUUUUUUAUGAUCUUUUUCAUGUCUGGUGCAGGAAGCUAUGCAUAAAGCUGAAACGGCUGGUAAUGGUGAUUGCGCUGUUAAAAAUAAACUUGUGGCUCAUCCAGCAUAUGUUCUCAAUACUUGAGACUCUUGACAUGGGAUGAUGAAUUGAUUAGGACUAAAAUUAUGCACCUAGUCGGAGAGUUCUAUGCUAAUUGUGAACUUGAGGCGAGGUCACACAUUGUCAAGGUGGGGGACACCAAUGUCGCCCUCACUCAGUUGUUGUUGAAUGAGCUAUUAGGUGCUGCGGACACUGACCUCUUGUAUUUCAAAAGUGUCUCUACGCAUGUAAACACAAAAGAUUCAUCGUUUCUAUCAUAAUCUUUAUUAUGUUGUUAUUAUUAAAAGAAUAAAUAAACACAGGCAGUCUACACAAGUAUGAAAAGUCACAGUUAUUGUCUCUUUG